AUAGUUGGUUCGGCAGUACACAUACUAAAAUUGGAAGCAUAUACAGAAGAUUAGCAUGGCCCCUGUGCAAGGAUGACACGCAGAUUUGUGAAGCAGUUCAUACUUUU
rnacentral:snRNA from 1 species